ACGUGACACACCCAAGAAUUAGACAGCCCAAUACUAGUUUUGCUUAAGAUUCAGGUUGAAUAGAACACAUGUGAAUAAAUGCCUUCACAACAAAUUUAUCAUUCACAUCAAAUGUAUGACUUUGAUGAGGAACUUAUGCAAUGCCUUCACAACAUCAGCAGGGACUACUUGCUUUUCAGCCAUCAAAACAUCUGAAGUGACAACAUCACCUUGGACUACAAAGCGCUCCGUCCUCGCUAGAACCUUGAAUAACUCUGGACAGACAACUUUGCUGGAGAUCAUACUGAGCAAACUUUCGUUGUUGUCACAUAGAGACAACAACAUGGACACCACCAGAAACGUAAACUUAUCCAUAAGAAUAAUAUGCUCGAUUUGUUUUCUGUUACUUUGCUCCGACUUGUGCUCAGCAUAUUUGAGUCUUGUUCUUCAACAAGACAUCAAGCAAUCCAGUGCCUAACUCAAAGCUAAUUGUUCUCUGUGCAUACCCAAGCAUAUCUAUAUAAAAGAAACAUAAGUUUAAUA